rnacentral:snRNA from 1 species
GUGCUUGCUUCAAUGGCACAUAUGCUAAAAUUGGAACUAUACAGAGAAGAUUAGCAUGGUUCCUGCGCAAGGAUGACAUGCAAAUUUGUGAAGUGUUACAUAUUUUU